UCUUCCUUCUGCGUGCUACUUGAUCUAAAUGAGAUACGGCAAAGUCACAGAACCUGUUUUUAUGUUUUUGCCUGAUUCAUACGGGCUUCUCCGGUGAAGAUGGGCCUGAAGUAACGCUUGGGUUGCUUCUGACGUUAUAACUCAUCCUGUAGCUGCAGCAACCGUGGUCCUUGCAACCUCAUAAAAAUGUUGCCAGCAUUGUUUCGAUAGUGCUGCUUAAUUCUUGGAAGGUUCUUCGGACUUCACACAUUCCAGCAGUAGCUCUCUCAGCUCCUGUCCUGCACAGCUUUGAAGUGCUGGUGAUGUCAUUGAACUCUUAAGUGCAAGAUGAAACAAGUCUUUCUGGGGUUCUAAGUAGCGUCUUCAAAGUGUCUUCUGUAAAGACUUCUUCAGACUGUCAAUAGGAAGACUGAUAAACUCAGUUCAGAUGCGAGAGGAAAUCGAGUCAUCAUCAAUGGCACCUCAUGUUAGCCUGCCAUGGCAACAAGCUCAUUGAUUGAGUAAAAGAACUUUCAGAUGCACUAGCUGGUCUUUAACGGGUUGCUGAAAGCACAGAUAAGACGACUGAGGGAGCCGACUGAAUUUCCAUGGAUAUAUACAAAGGGAAUGGAAAAUCACAAGAAAUUUGAGUUAAGCAUUUUAUGAGACCAUGUGGGUACAGUUUGAAUCUACUAAAGAAGGAAAUUGAGCAUUAAGCAUAGCACCUUGCUCUUGCUCCACCGUACCUUCUAAGGGCUCGCAUGCAGAGAAUACCUGUGAUCCAGUGCCAGCUUUCAUCACCGCUUUGCAUAGCCAGCUUACAUUAACUUGAAAGAGAGUUCCAGGUGCAUUCAAGUUCUGCUGAAGAAAUGGAAAUUUGGAAGCUCUAUUAUUAGCUUAGGCCAUUUUCAAAUCAC
ensembl:lncRNA HULC hepatocellular carcinoma up-regulated long non-coding RNA